rnacentral:rRNA from 1 species
AACGAACGCUGGCGGCAGGCUUAACACAUGCAAGUCGAGCGCAUCCUCCGGGGUGAGCGGCGGUCGGGGGAGUAACGCGGGGGAACGUGCCCUCUUCUACGGAAUAGCCGCGGGAAACUGAGAUUAAUGCCGCAUACGCCCGCAAGGGGAAAGAGCUAUCGGGGGAGGAUCGGCCCGCGUUGGCUUAGGUGGUUGGGGGGGUAAUGGCCGACCAAGGGGAGGAUGCAUAGCUGGUGGGGGAGGAUGAUCUGCCACACUGGGGCUGAGACCCGGCCCAGACUCGUACGCGAGGCAGCAGUGGGGAAUACUGGACGAUGGGGGCAGACCUGAUCCAGCCAUGCGGCGUGAGCGAUGAAGGCCUUAGGGUUGUGAAGAUCUUUCAGCUGGGGAGAUAAUGACGGUACCAGCAGAAGAAGCCCCGGCUAACUACGUG